GGCGGGUAUGUGAAAAGGUGUUAAAAUCAUGCUACUAUAAUUAUAUUUGGCACGAACAAUGCUUAUGUGCUACUUUUGGAUACAAUUAGAGAUUGUAAGUCUUUUGAAGCCCUACUUCCGGUAAAAAUUAAUAUGGCGGACAUUGUUAUAAUGUAAGCCUAUUUAUUUGGGAGGAUAAUUGAAGUGUAUUUGAAUGUACUGCUACUAUCAUCAUAUUGUACAGGAACCUUUCUUUGGUGCCUCUCUUGGAUACAAUAUAUAGGCCACAUGUCUAUAAAAUCACAACAUCCGGUGAAAUCCAAUAUGGCGGACAUAGAAUUUUUUUUUUUUUUUUUUUUUUUUUUUUUUGAAAUGUUAAAACAUUUUUUUGUGCUAGUCAUUCAACUUUUGACUUUAAGUUAUCCUCAAUCCCAAAUAUUCACUAUAUCUAAAAGAGGGACGAAAUUUAUCAAUAAUAUGGCGGCAACACAUUGAUUUCUAUUCACAAUCACCACCACAAGCACACAAAGCAGUGCACGGGAGACCUGAUUUGCCACAUUUACAACGACCACCGCAGCCUUUUUUACAUCCGCAAUGCACAAGCUCCUGACAAGAUGACGAUGCCUCAGAAAGUGCAGUCCAAAAGGGUUCCCAUUGAUCAUCUUUGUCCCUUUUCCAUCCAUAAGCGCCUGGACUAGGUAGUAAUGGAACCAAUUCCAAGCUCGAUCCCCAUACACAGCCGCCUUGGAAUAUUGCACGUUUAACAUGUUGGAAAAGACUAGACCGAGUCGGUGGAAUAGCCUCAAUUAGUCUUCCCUUUUGCGCAAACAGUUGUUUUCUUGCUUCAUUAACCCCAUUUGAUGUGUUCGUUCGAUCGUACAUUAAAACCACGUAUCGUUCUAUCAAUGCCAUUAUUAGAUCCAUAUCAGGUGAUGUAGGUUGAUCAAUCAUUAUUCGGAAUGCUAAAGUAACAUCUUCAAAUGCCAUCCAUGUCUCCCACGCAGUCUUUUUUCCUUUUCCAGCAAACGAAGAGACGGUAUCACAACCGGUAAAGGCAUGAAACACAGGAAGUGUGUGUGAUAUCUCAAUGCCUAGUGCAUUUGAAAGUUCAUGAAUGGAUAUAUAUCUGAAGCUUUUUCCACUCCCAAACGCUAGCCAUAGUUCGUCUGCCCCAAUUUCACGAAAUAGUGACACAGCAAUGACAGCAACAUCCGUAUCAACUGUUCGAAUUAUGACUCGUUUAAGUCCAUGGUUCACUGCAUCCGACACAUGCACCAUGAUUCUAGUGUCAGCCUCUUCAUGUGAACAUGGUGCUAAAUUUAAAACAUCAUCACGUGGUGGAUAACAUAACACAUCCUGAUCAUUUGUUGCUACAACUAUCUUUUCUGCAAAAUGUUGUUGAGCAAGAUGCUGAGAAAGAAAACUAAAAAGUUCCUUUUUAUUGUCAUCAUCUCUCAAAAAACUUUGCCAAUUUUGAGGAAUUUUAUUUUGACCCUGGACUCGUCUGCGUAUUCCCUUCCCUCGUUUGCUUCUGGUGGCAGCCUUCAAGCUAUUGUCGAUGUACACAUCCCAGACUACAUCCACUCUUGCUACAGUUUCCAGUUGUUUUCUAAUAUAAGGACAGAAUAUCAAAUCAGCAUAAUCGUCAAAGGUACGAGAUGUUGAUGGUUUAAGCAUAUUCACAAUUGCGGCACCGUCAAUAACUAAA
rnacentral:lncRNA from 1 species